CUACGGGUCGCUCCAGUGAGGAAUAUUGCACAAUGGGGGGAACCCUGAUGCAGCAACGCCGCGUGGAGGAUGACGCAUUUCGGUGUGUAAACUCCUUUUAUAUGUCAAGAAAGUGACGGUAGCAUAUGAAUAAGCACCGGCUAACUCCGUGCCAGCAGCCGCGGUAAUACGGAGGGUGCAAGCGUUACUCGGAAUCACUGGGCGUAAAGGACGCGUAGGCGGGUUGGAAAGUCAGGUGUGAAAUCCUACAGCUUAACUGUAGAACUGCACUUGAAACUUCUAAUCUAGAGUAUGGGAGGGGGGGAUGGAAUUAGUGGUGUAGGGGUAAAAUCCGUAGAUAUCACUAGGAAUACCUAAAGCGAAGGCGAUCUCCUGGAACAUUACUGACGCUAAGGCGUGAAAGCGUGGGGAGCAAACAGGAUUAGAUACCCGCGUAGUC
rnacentral:rRNA from 1 species